AUUGAACGCUGGCGGCGUGCCUAACACAUGCAAGUCGAGCGGUAACAGGUGUAGCAAUACAUGCUGACGAGCGGCGGACGGGUGAGUAACGCUUGGGAAUCUGCCUGUUAGUGGGGGACAACCCGGGGAAACUCGGGCUAAUACCGCAUACGCACUACGGUGGAAAGCCGGGGACCGCAAGGCCUGGCGCUAACAGAUGAGCCCAAGUCGGAUUAGCUAGUUGGUAGGUAACGGCCACCAAGGCGACGAUCCGUAACUGGUCUGAGAGGACGACCAGUCACACCGGAACUGAGACACGGUCCGGACUCCUACGGGAGGCAGCAGUGGGGAAUAUUGGACAAUGGGCGAAAGCCUGAUCCAGCGACGCCGCGUGGGUGAAGAA
rnacentral:rRNA from 1 species